rnacentral:rRNA from 1 species
GGUGAACGCUGGCGGCGUGCCUAAUACAUGCAAGUCGAGCGAACAGACGAGGAGCUUGCUCCUCUGACGUUAGCGGCGGACGGGUGAGUAACACGUGGGUAACCUACCUAUAAGACUGGGAUAACUUCGGGAAACCGGAGCUAAUACCGGAUAAUAUAUUGAACCGCAUGGUUCUAUAGUGAAAGACGGUUUUGCUGUCACUUAUAGAUGGAUCCGCGCCGCAUUAGCUAGUUGGUAAGGUAACGGCUUACCAAGGCAACGAUGCGUAGCCGACCUGAGAGGGUGAUCGGCCACACUGGAACUGAGACACGGUCCAGACUCCUACGGGAGGCAGCAGUAGGGAAUCUUCCGCAAUGGGCGAAAGCCUGACGGAGCAACGCCGCGUGAGUGAUGAAGGUCUUCGGAUCGUAAAACUCUGUUAUUAGGGAAGAACAAAUGUGUAAGUAACUAUGCACGUCUUGACGGUACCUAAUCAGAAAGCCACGGCUAACUACGUG